CUGGUUCCCGCCCGCGGCUCUCUCUCCACACAUCCCCGCAAGCUGAGGGAGCCAGCUCCGGCCUUGGCCAGCCCAGAAAAGGGCUCCCACAGUGCAGGGGCGGGCUGAAGGGCUCCUCAAGUGCCGCCAAAGUGGGAGCCCAGGCAGAGGAGGCGCCGAGAGCGAGCGAGGGCUGUGAGGACUGCCAGCACGCUGUCACCUCUCAGUCAGAGCCCACAGAUAAUAGCAACACACUAAGGUCCUCAAGGUACAUCGUUGGGAUCAAGCAACUUUGAUCCCAAGGAGAAGAAUAAAAACAAGAGGGACGACUGGGCCAAGGUGCCAUGUGAAGUGACCUGUGAGGAUCAACCCAGUGAAGAUGCUUGAGGAAGACAUGCUAGAGCAAAAACUACAACUCUGGUCCUCUUGGAUAUUUUAGAUAAGGACUUUACCCACAUAAAGAAGGUGUUGCCCUGGGGACUGGCUGAGAGAAAUUACAGACUGUUACUCACUUCAAAAGAAACGGACUGCUACAGUGGUACUUACGUCACCAGAAAGAAACACUUCCACAAAGAAUUUGAUUUGAUGGCAUCAUGUGGACAUAGAACUCUCAUAGUAAUGACCCAACCUGUGUUUCCAGUCAUCCUGAUGAACUCUCAACAAAAUCAGAUUGUUAUACUGUUGUUCUCACUUUACACCGAUAUUUUCUCUUGCUCCUAAAAAAAGUAUCUGGUAUUAAAUAGAAUUCUGUAUCUUAAAAAACUUGCCAUUGAGAAAAAUGAGAAGUAACUGUACAUUUUAAUACUGAAGGUUUUAAUAAAAAAAGCAGUGUGAA
rnacentral:lncRNA from 1 species